rnacentral:tRNA from 1 species
GGGUCGUUAUCUCAACGGCUAGAGCGACCAGCUCAUGACUGGUAUUAUUUCGGUUCGAAUCCGAAACGACCCACCA